rnacentral:tRNA from 1 species
AGAUGUUAAAUAGAUAUACUAUGUUCAAUUGCGGUUUGAUUUGAUUUACAUCUU